CCUACGGGAGGCAGCAGUGGGGAAUAUUGGGCAAUGGGCGCAAGCCUGACCCAGCAACGCCGCGUGAAGGAAGAAGGCUUUCGGGUUGUAAAAUUCUUUUGUCAGGGAAGAGUAGAAGACGGUACCUGACGAAUAAGCCACGGCUAACUACGUGCCAGCAGCCGCGGUAAUACGUAGGUGGCAAGCGUUGUCCGGAUUUACUGGGUGUAAAGGGCGUGUAGCCGGUUUGACAAGUCAGUUGUGAAAUCCUGCGGCUUAACCGCAGAACUGCAUUUGAAACUGUUGAUCUUGAGUGCUGGAGAGGCAGAUGGAAUGCAUGGUGUAGCGGUGAAAUGCGUAGAGAUUAGGAGGAACACCAGUGGCGAAGGCGGUCUGCUGAACAGCAACUGACGGUGAGGCGCGAAAGCGGGGGGAGCAAACAGGAUUAGAUACCCGAGUAGUC
rnacentral:rRNA from 1 species